rnacentral:rRNA from 1 species
UCAGAGUGAACGCUGGCGGUAGGCCUAACACAUGCAAGUCGAACGGCAGCACAGAGGAGCUUGCUCCUUGGGUGGCGAGUGGCGGACGGGUGAGGAAUACAUCGGAAUCUACUUUUUCGUGGGGGAUAACGUAGGGAAACUUACGCUAAUACCGCAUACGACCUACGGGUGAAAGCAGGGGAUCUUCGGACCUUGCGCGAUUGAAUGAGCCGAUGUCGGAUUAGCUAGUUGGCGGGGUAAAGGCCCACCAAGGCGACGAUCCGUAGCUGGUCUGAGAGGAUGAUCAGCCACACUGGAACUGAGACACGGUCCAGACUCCUACGGGAGGCAGCAGUGGGGAAUAUUGGACAAUGGGCGCAAGCCUGAUCCAGCCAUACCGCGUGGGUGAAGAAGGCCUUCGGGUUGUAAAGCCCUUUUGUUGGGAAAGAAAUCCAGCCGGCUAAUACCUGGUUGGGAUGACGGUACCCAAAGAAUAAGCACCGGCUAACUUCGUGCCAGCAGCCGCGGUAAUACGAAGGGUGCAAGCGUUACUCGGAAUUACUGGGCGUAAAGCGUGCGUAGGUGGUUGUUUAAGUCUGUUGUGAAAGCCCUGGGCUCAACCUGGGAACUGCAGUGGAAACUGGACAACUAGAGUGUGGUAGAGGGUAGCGGAAUUCCCGGUGUAGCAGUGAAAUGCGUAGAGAUCGGGAGGAACAUCCAUGGCGAAGGCAGCUACCUGGACCAACA